rnacentral:rRNA from 1 species
UACGUAGGGUCCGAGCGUUGUCCGGAAUUAUUGGGCGUAAAGGGCUCGUAGGCGGUCUGUUGCGUCGGGAGUGAAAUCUUACAGCUUAACUGUGAACUUGCUUUCGAUACGGGCAGACUUGAGGUAUUCAGGGGAGAACGGAAUUCCUGGUGUAGCGGUGAAAUGCGCAGAUAUCAGGAAGAACACCUAUGGCGAAGGCAGCUCUCUGGGACGGUACUGACGCUGAGACGCGAAAGCGUGGGGAGCGAACAGG